rnacentral:rRNA from 1 species
UUGAACGCUGGCGGCAGGCUUAACACAUGCAAGUCGAACGAAGAAUUGGGGCUUGCUCCAAUUUUUAGUGGCGAACGGGUGAGUAAUGCCUAGGAAUCUGCCUAUUAGUGGGGGAUAACGUUUCGAAAGGAACGCUAAUACCGCAUACGUCCUACGGGAGAAAGGGGGCUUUUAGCUCUCGCUAAUAGAUGAGCCUAGGUCAGAUUAGCUAGUUGGUGGGGUAAAGGCCUACCAAGGCGACGAUCUGUAGCGGGUCUGAGAGGAUGAUCCGCCACACUGGAACUGAGACACGGUCCAGACUCCUACGGGAGGCAGCAGUGGGGAAUAUUGGACAAUGGGCGAAAGCCUGAUCCAGCCAUGCCGCGUGUGUGAAGAAGGCCUUUUGGUUGUAAAGCACUUUAAGCGGGGAGGAGGGCACUAUGGUUAAUACCCAUGAGUGUUGGACGUUACCCGCAGAAUAAGCACCGGCUAACUCUGU